rnacentral:lncRNA from 1 species
AGAGAUUAAUGAUAUCCAUAAAAUCACUUAUCUAAUUAAAACUAGGCAAAAAAAUAAAAAAUUAGUUUUUAUAAAUUUUUACUAAUGAUGAAAUAAUGUAUUUAUAAUGACAAAAAAGAUUUUGAUGAUUUAAAAAAUAAUAAUUAUAAGAUAUAAUAAUACUAGCAAUAUAUCACUAAUAAUGAUAAAAAAAAUAACAUGUAAUGAAAAUAGUAAUAAUAAUAACUAGAGAAUAAUAAUACUAAAAAAAAUAGAGAUAAAAAAAAUAAAAAGAUAGAAUAGAAAAUAAAAUAAAUCAUAAAAAGAAAAAAAAACAAUCAAAA